rnacentral:rRNA from 1 species
UACGUAGGGCGCAAGCGUUGUCCGGAAUUACUGGGCGUAAAGGGCUCGUAGGCGGCCAACUAAGUCAUACGUGAAAUCCCUCAGCUUAACUGGGGAACUGCGUCUGAUACUGGAUGGCUUGGAUUUGGGAGAGGGAUGCGGAAUUCCAGGUGUAGCGGUGAAAUGCGUAGAUAUCUGGAGGAACACCGGUGGCGAAGGCGGCAUCCUGGACCAACAUUGACGCUGAGGAGCGAAAGCCAGGGGAGCAAAGCGGGAUUAAGA